rnacentral:rRNA from 1 species
CCUACGGGAGGCAGCAGUAAGGAAUAUUGGUCAAUGGACGCAAGUCUGAACCAGCCAUGCCGCGUGAAGGAUUAAGGUCCUCUGGAUUGUAAACUUCUUUUAUCUGGGACGAAAAAAGGCGAUUCUUCGUCACUUGACGGUACCAGAUGAAUAAGCACCGGCUAACUCCGUGCCAGCAGCCGCGGUAAUACGGAGGGUGCAAGCGUUAUCCGGAUUCACUGGGUUUAAAGGGUGCGUAGGCGGGCAGGUAAGUCAGUGGUGAAAUCCUAGAGCUUAACUCUAGAACUGCCAUUGAUACUAUCUGUCUUGAAUAUUGUGGAGGUAAGCGGAAUAUGUCAUGUAGCGGUGAAAUGCUUAGAUAUGACAUAGAACACCUAUUGCGAAGGCAGCUUACUACGCAUAUAUUGACGCUGAGGCACGAAAGCGUGGGGAUCAAACAGGAUUAGAUACCCUGGUAGUCCACGCCCUAAACCGAUGAUUACUCGACAUUUGUGAUACACUAUAAGUGUCUGAGCGAAAGCAUUAAGUAAUCCACCUGGGAAGUACGACCGCAAGGUUGAAACUCAAAUGAGUAGAGCGNGAGAGNGCGAGGCGACACGAGGGGAGAGG